rnacentral:tRNA from 1 species
GCAAUCCCGACGCUUUCGUCCACUCAGCCAUCUCUCC